UACGGGGGGGGCAAGCGUUGUUCGGAAUUACUGGGCGUAAAGGGCUCGUAGGCGGCCAACUAAGUCGGAUGUGAAAUCCCCAGGCUUAACCUGGGAACUGCAUCCGAUACUGGAUGGCUUGAAUUCGGGAGAGGGAUGCAGAAUUCCAGGUGUAGCGGUGAAAUGCGUAGAUAUCUGGAGGAACAUCGGUGGCGAAGGCGGCAUCCUGGACCGGUAUUGACGCUGAGGCGCGAAAGCCAGGGGAGCAAACGGG
rnacentral:rRNA from 1 species